rnacentral:rRNA from 1 species
ACGCUCGACACCUACGGGAGGCAGCAGUCGGGAAUAUUGCGCAAUGGAGGGAACUCUGACGCAGUGACGCCGCGUAUAGGAAGAAGGUUUUCGGAUUGUAAACUAUUGUCGUUAGGGAAGAGAAAGGACAGUACCUAAGGAGGAAGCUCCGGCUAACUACGUGCCAGCAGCAGCGGUAAUCUGAGCGGGCUGGCAAGGC